UUUUAGCAGGGAAGAAGCGAAAGUGACGGUACCUGCAGAAAAAGCGCCGGCUAACUACGUGCCAGCAGCCGCGGUAAUACGUAGGGCGCAAGCGUUAUCCGGAAUUAUUGGGCGUAAAGAGCUCGUAGGCGGUUUGUCGCGUCUGCUGUGAAAUCCCGAGGCUCAACCUCGGGCCUGCAGUGGGUACGGGCAGACUAGAGUGCGGUAGGGGAGAUUGGAAUUCCUGGUGUAGCGGUGGAAUGCGCAGAUAUCAGGAGGAACACCGAUGGCGAAGGCAGAUCUCUGGGCCGUAACUGACGCUGAGGAGCGAAAGGGUGGGGAGCAAACAGGCUUAGAUACCCUGGUAGUCCACCCCGUAAACGUUGGGAACUAGUUGUGGGGUCCAUUCCACGGAUUCCGUGACGCAGCUAACGCAUUAAGUUCCCCGCCUGGGGAGUACGGCCGCAAGGCUAAAACUCAAAGGAAUUGACGGGGACCCGCACAAGCGGCGGAGCAUGCGGAUUAAUUCGAUGCAACGCGAAGAACCUUACCAAGGCUUGACAUAUACGAGAACGGGCCAGAAAUGGUCAACUCUUUGGACACUCGUAAACAGGUGGUGCAUGGUUGUCGUCAGCUCGUGUCGUGAGAUGUUGGGUUAAGUCCCGCAACGAGCGCAACCCUCGUUCUAUGUUGCCAGCACGUAAUGGUGGGAACUCAUGGGAUACUGCCGGGGUCAACUCGGAGGAAGGUGGGGAUGACGUCAAAUCAUCAUGCCCCUUAUGUCUUGGGCUUCACGCAUGCUACAAUGGCCGGUACAAAGGGCUGCAAUACCGUGAGGUGGAGCGAAUCCCAAAAAGCCGGUCCCAGUUCGGAUUGAGGUCUGCAACUCGACCUCAUGAAGUCGGAGUCGCUAGUAAUCGCAGAUCAGCAACGCUGCGGUGAAUACGUUCCCGGGUCUUGUACACACCGCCCGUCAAGUCAUGAAAGUCGGUAACACCUGAAGCCGGUGGCCUAACCCUUGUGGAGGGAGCUGUCGAAGGUGG
rnacentral:rRNA from 1 species